rnacentral:rRNA from 1 species
UACGUAGGGUGCAAGCGUUAAUCGGAAUUACUGGGCGUAAAGGGCGCGUAGGCGGCUUUGCAAGUGACGGGUGAAAUCCCUCGGCUUAACCGAGGAACUGCCUGUCAAACUGCAUGGCUUGAGACCGGGAGAGGUGAGUGGAAUUCCCAGUGUAGCGGUGAAAUGCGUAGAUAUUGGGAGGAACACCAGUGGCGAAGGCGGCUCACUGGACCGGUACUGACGCUGAUGCGCGAAAGCGUGGGGAGCAAACAGG